GUAGGAGCAUGCUGAUUAAUUCGAUGCACGCGAAGAACCUUACCAAGGCUUGACAUGCACCGGAUCGCCUCAGAGAUGGGGUUUCCCUUUGGGCUGGUGCACAGGUGGUGCAUGGUUGUCGUCAGCUCGUGUCGUGAGAUGUUGGGUUAAGUCCCGCAACGAGCGCAACCCUCGUUCUAUGUUGCCAGCACGUAAUGGUGGGGACUCAUAGGAGACUGCCGGGGUCAACUCGGAGGAAGGUGGGGAUGACGUCAAAUCAUCAUGCCCCUUAUGUCUUGGGCUUCAAGCAUGCUACAAUGGCCGGUACAGAGGGUUGCGAAACCGUGAGGUGGAGCGAAUCCCAAAAAACCGGUCUCAGUUCGGAUUGGGGUCUGCAACUCGACCCCAUGAAGUCGGAGUCGCUAGUAAUCGCAGAUCAGCAACGCUGCGGUGAAUACGUUCCCGGGCCUUGUACACACCGCCCGUCAAGUCACGAAAGUCGGUAACACCCGAAGACGGUGGCCUAACCCUUGUGGAAGGAGCCGUCUAAGGUGGGACCGGUGAUUGGGACUAAGUCGUAACAAGGUAGCCGUACCGGAAGGUGCGGCUGGAU
rnacentral:rRNA from 1 species